UUGAAAACAGUUGUCCACGGUGUGUCCC
rnacentral:sRNA from 1 species